rnacentral:rRNA from 1 species
GAAGGUGGCGAGCGUUGUUCGGAAUUAUUGGGCUUAAAGAGCACGUAGGCGGAACAGAAAGUGUCUUGUGAAAACCCCCGGCUUAACCGGGGAAUUGCUUGGCAAACUUCUGUUCUUGAGUCAAGUAGGGGUACAUGGAACUCUUAGUGGAGCGGUGGAAUGCGUAGAUAUUAAGAGGAACGCCAAUGGUGAAGACAGUGUACUGGGCUUGUACUGACGCUGAGGUGCGAAAGCGUGGGGAGCGAACGGGAUUAGAUACCCCGGGUAGUCCACGCUGUAAACGAUGUCUACUAGGUUGUGGGUGUUCUGACACAGUCACAGCCGAAGCAAAAGUGUUAAGUAGACCGCCUGGGGAGUACGGUCGCAAGGCUA